rnacentral:rRNA from 1 species
GUGCCAGCGCGCGGUACUACCGGCAGCUCGAGUGAUGGCCGUUCUUAUUGGGCCUAAAGCGUCCGUAGCCGGCCACGCAAGUUCGUCGGGAAAUCCACACGCUCAACGUGUGGGCGUCCGGCGAAACCUGCGUGGCUUGGGACCGGACGGCCCGAGGGGUACGGCCGGGGUAGGAGUGAAAUCCUGUAAUCCCGGCCGGACCACCGGUGGCGAAAGCGCCUCGGGAGGACGGAUCCGACGGUGAGGGACGAAAGCCAGGGUCACGAACCGGAUUAGAUACCCUAGUAGUCC